UGAGUUGAUAUUGAUUGUGGUGAUAUUGAUGACUUACUCCAUAUUCUCUAUGUUGAGAUCAUGUUCAUCUUGUUAUUGAUCUUGAGAUUUCAUCUCGAGCCAUGAUUAUAUUCUGUCUCAUGUGCAUAGUACUCUCUACUCCACUCACUGAGUAUUUAUAUACUCACUCCCCAGUUUAGUGUUUUUGAUUGCAGGGCAGGUAUUGUAUAGAGAAGAGCAGGGUUAGAGAUUGCCUGCUAGCUGUGCCGCUCCAUAGUAUAGUAUAGUAUAAUGUAGAUAAAGGUUUAUACAUUUUGGUGUAUUAUGAACCUUCUAUUGUAUAUAGUGUAUAGUUACAGUCAUAGAUCCCGUUGUGGAUAUGGGUUUGACCAUGGAUGGAAUGGGAACCAGAUUUUUAUACAGAUGAGUUAUAUGCCUGAGAUAAUGUAUUGAUAUAUAUUGUCCAGGUUCAUUAUGUGACAGAUUAUGUGAUUGCUGCUCUGACAGGUAGUAUUGUUGUAUGUAUUGAGAUAAUCCUGACAGGUCACUAUAGGAAAAGUGAUCAUUUUGUGCAUGCAUCAUGCCAAAUUUUUCAAGAUUUAUUGAUGAUUGAUAGGUAGUAGAGUUCUACGCGGUGGCUGGUGGCCUUAUGCCUACCCGCACCCUAGGACCGUCGCGGCGGCCCGCCGGGAACGGGG
rnacentral:lncRNA from 1 species